UACGUAGGCAGCAAGCGUUGUUCGGAAUUACUGGGCGUAAAGAGUGUGUAGGCGGUGUUCUAAGUUUGUCGUGAAAUCUCCCGGGCUUAACUGGGAGGGUGCGGCGAAAAACUGGAAUGCUAGAGGAUGGGAGAGGUAAGCGGAAUUCCUGGUGUAGCGGUGAAAUGCGUAGAUAUCAGGAGGAACACCGGUGGCGAAGGCGGGUCUCUGGGCAGUAACUGACGCUGGAGGAGCGAAAGCGUGGGGAGCGAACAGG
rnacentral:rRNA from 1 species